AGCGAACGCUGGCGGCAGGCCUAACACAUGCCAGUCGAACGAACCUUUCGGGGUUAGUGGCGGACGGGUGAGUAACACGUGGGAACGUGCCUUUAGGUUCGGAAUAACUCAGGGAAACUUGUGCUAAUACCGAAUGUGCCCUUCGGGGGAAAGAUUUAUCGCCUUUAGAGCGGCCCGCGUCUGAUUAGCUAGUUGGUUGAGGUAAUGGCUCACCAAGGCGACGAUCAGUAGCUGGUCUGAGAGGAUGAUCAGCCACAUUGGGACUGAGACACGGCCCAAACUCCUACGGGAGGCAGCAGUGGGGAAUCUUGCGCAAUGGGCGAAAGCCUGACGCAGCCAUGCCGCGUGAAUGAUGUAGGUCUUAGGAUUGUAAAAUUCUUUCACCGGGGACGAUAAUGACGGUACCCGGAGAAGAAGCCCCGGCUAACUUCGUG
rnacentral:rRNA from 1 species